GACGAACGCUGGCGGCGUGCUUAACACAUGCAAGUCGAACGGAAAGGCCCUGCUUUUGUGGGGUGCUCGAGUGGCGAACGGGUGAGUAACACGUGAGUAACCUGCCCUUGACUUUGGGAUAACUUCAGGAAACUGGGGCUAAUACCGGAUAGGAGCUCCUGCUGCAUGGUGGGGGUUGGAAAGUUUCGGCGGUUGGGGAUGGACUCGCGGCUUAUCAGCUUGUUGGUGGGGUAGUGGCUUACCAAGGCUUUGACGGGUAGCCGGCCUGAGAGGGUGACCGGCCACAUUGGGACUGAGAUACGGCCCAGACUCCUACGGGAGGCAGCAGUGGGGAAUAUUGCACAAUGGGCGGAAGCCCGAUGCAGCAACGCCGCGUGCGGGAUGACGGCCUUCGGGUUGUAAACCGCUUUCGCCUGUGACGAAGCGUGAGUGACGGUAAUGGGUAAGAAGCACCGGCUAACUACGUG
rnacentral:rRNA from 1 species